AGGAAAGAGGAGGAGAGAGAGAGAGAGAGAGAGAGAGGAAAAGGAGGCGCUAGCGGAAAUUGCACGGCAAUUUUAGAAGGCGUCUUGAUCGAUAACGAGCGCGCGCAUCUGGCGACCGGUUCUUCUCUGUGUAUAUAGUCGAUCGGUGUAUAAUAAAUGACAGUAG